CCUACGGGUGGCAGCAGUGGGGAAUAUUGGGCAAUGGACGCAAGUCUGACCCAGCAACGCCGCGUGAAGGAUGAAGGCCUUCGGGUUGUAAACCUCUUUUAAGAGGGAAGAGCAGAAGAUGGUAUCCCUUGCAUAGGCUACGGCUAACUACGUGCCAGCAGCCGCGGUAAUACGGAGGUGGCAGGCGUUGUACGGAUUUAGUGGGUGUAAAGGGCGUGCAGCCGGGAUGACAAGUCAGGUGUGAAAUCCACGGGCUCAACCCGGGAACUGCAUUUGAAACUGGUUACCUUGAGUGUUGGAGAGGUUAGUGGAAUUCCAUGUGUAGGAGUGAAAUGCGUAGAUAUAAGGAAGAACAUCAGUGGCGAAGGCGAAUUUCUGGAAGAUAACUGACGGUGAGGCGCGAAAGCGUGGGGAGCAAACAGGAUUAGAUACCCUUGUAGUC
rnacentral:rRNA from 1 species